CAGUCGCCACGGGAAUACGUAGGGCGCAAGCGUUAUCCGGAAUUAUUGGGCGUAAAGAGCUCGUAGGCGGUUUGUCGCGUCUGCCGUGAAAGUCCGGGGCUCAACCCCGGAUCUGCGGUGGGUACGGGCAGACUAGAGUGAUGUAGGGGAGACUGGAAUUCCUGGUGUAGCGGUGAAAUGCGCAGAUAUCAGGAGGAACACCGAUGGCGAAGGCAGGUCUCUGGGCAUUAACUGACGCUGAGGAGCGAAAGCAUGGGGAGCGAACAGGAUUAGAUACCCGUGAGUCCCUGUCUCUUAUACA
rnacentral:rRNA from 1 species